GUGAAUUUACGAACGCACUAUGGUGCGCAAAUCCCUACUACAGAAUAAUCCCACAGAGCUGUACUGUUUUUGAUAAUCCCAUUCAGACAAAAUAUUUUUUUGCUAAUUUCGGAUGUUAGCUAGCCAGCUAACGUUGAUUUAGAUGCAUGUAACCCGGUUGGAAAUAGCUUCUUAACGUUUCUGGACAGAAACCCAGCUUCUUUGGAUAAUUGAGUUGGCUACAGUAGCUAAUCAAUUAAAAUUCACACCAAGCCAAGAUAACAUCAUGGAGAUCAGCCUCAAUCGAGUUGAUUAUCUGCAGAGUUGCCUACAGUAUUUUUACGUUUUUCAUUUAACCAGCCUGUGUCCAAGACAUUGCCAGGGCAGAAGAUAACCAGGCUGCAACUUGAUGAGGCUCUUGAAACCCCGCAGAAGAUCUUUGUGUGUGCUGGCUCAGAAGUGAAGGGAUACACCAAUAAAGUCAAACAGUUCCUGUCCUUUGAGGCCAACCUUACAGAAAGCAUUAAUGCCAUGUCAUUUUUUAAACUUUUCGAUUUGACAUAAGUUACCUUGCCUCGGUUCCAGGCCCUCUACACAUGUUCGUUAACAGUGAUGAACGGGACUUGGGAGUAUGGCACGUUUCAGACGCAGACCUUUUUGUAUGUGCGAGUUACAUCUACAACCACUACUGUGAAUGCAAGGACCAAGACUACUACCUGUCCGGAGACAAAAUCAAUGACAUUGUGUGUUUGUCUGCUGAGAACUUGGGCCGCAUUGUCCAUGUGUUGGCAUGUCAAGACAGUUCUCAGAGUGUUGCAGAGAUCUGAGCUAUUGUAUGAUAUUGAAGUCCCUGGUCCUCCCUCAGUUUUGGAGCUGUACAAUAGAGAUGGAG